rnacentral:rRNA from 1 species
GGGGAAUGCGGGCGCGAAUUCGCCCUUCAGGCCUAACCAUGCAAGUCGAGCGGAUGAAGGGAGCUUGCUCCCUGAUUUAGCGGCGGACGGGUGAGUAAUGCCUAGGAAUCUGCCUGGUAGUGGGGGAUAACGUUCCGAAAGGAACGCUAAUACCGCGUACGUCCUACGGGAGAAAGCAGGGGACCUUCGGGCCUUGCGCUAUCAGAUGAGCCUAGGUCGAAUUAGCUAGUUGGUGAGGUAAUGGCUCACCAAGGCGACGAUCCGUAACUGGUCUGAGAGGAUGAUCAGUCACACUGGAACUGAGACACGGUCCAGACUCCUACGGGAGGCAGCAGUGGGGAAUAUUGGACAAUGGGCGAAAGCCUGAUCCAGCCAUGCCGCGUGUGUGAAGAAGGUCUUCGGAUUGUAAAGCACUUUAAGUUGGGAGGAAGGGCUGCUGGUUAAUACCCUGCAGUUUUGACGUUACCAACAGAAUAAGCACCGGCUAACUUCGUGCCAGCAGCCGCGGUAAUACGAAGGGUGCAAGCGUUAAUCGGAAUUACUGGGCGUAAAGCGCGCGUAGGUGGUUCGUUAAGUUGGAUGUGAAAGCCCCGGGCUCAACCUGGGAACUGCAUCCAAAACUGGCGAGCUAGAGUACGGUAGAGGGUGGUGGAAUUUCCUGUGUAGCGGUGAAAUGCGUAGAUAUAGGAAGGAACACCAGUGGCGAAGGCGACCACCUGGACUGAUACUGACACUGAGGUGCGAAAGCGUGGGGAGCAAACAGGAUUAGAUACCCUGGUAGUCCACGCCGUAAACGAUGUCAACUAGCCGUUGGAAUCCUUGAGAUUUUAGUGGCGCAGCUAACGCAUUAAGUUGACCGCCUGGGGAGUACGGCCGCAAGGUUAAAACUCAAGUGAAUUG